GAUGAACGCUGGCGGCGUGCCUAAUACAUGCAAGUCGAGCGAACGGACGAGAAGCUUGCUUUUCUGAUGUUAGCGGCGGACGGGUGAGUAACACGUGGAUAACCUACCUAUAAGACUGGGAUAACUUCGGGAAACCGGAGCUAAUACCGGAUAAUAUUUUGAACCGCAUGGUUCAAAAGUGAAAGACGGUCUUGCUGUCACUUAUAGAUGGAUCCGCGCUGCAUUAGCUAGUUGGUAAGGUAACGGCUUACCAAGGCAACGAUGCAUAGCCGGCCUGAGAGGGUGAUCGGCCACACUGGAACUGAGACACGGUCCAGACUCCUACGGGAGGCAGCAGUAGGGAAUCUUCCGCAAUGGGCGAAAGCCUGACGGAGCAACGCCGCGUGAGUGAUGAAGGUCUUCGGAUCGUAAAACUCUGCUAUUAGGGAAGAACAUAUGUGUAAGUAACUGUGCACAUCUUGACGGUACCUAAUCAGAAAGCCACGGCUAACUACGUG
rnacentral:rRNA from 1 species